rnacentral:rRNA from 1 species
CCAAUAGCGUAUAUUAAAGUUGUUGCAGUUAAAAAGCUCGUAGUUGAAUUUCGGGAUCAAUAUGUCGGUCGUGCCAUCGGUACGUACUGGUAUCAUUGGUUUCUCCUUUCUGACGAACCAUGAUGUCAUUAAUUUGGUGUUAUGGGAAGUUAGGACUGUUACUUUGAAAAAAUUAGAGUGUUUAAAGCAGGCUUUGGCUU